UACGUAGGUGGCAAGCGUUGUCCGGAUUUACUGGGCGUAAAGAGCGCGCAGGCGCCAAGUCAGUCGAAUGUGAAAGCCCCCGGCUUAACUGGGGAGGGUCAUUCGAUACUGCUCGGCUCGAAGACAGGAGAGGGAAGUGGAAUUCCCGGUGUAGUGGUGAAAUGCGUAGAUAUCGGGAGGAACACCAGUGGCGAAGGCGACUUUCGCGU
rnacentral:rRNA from 1 species